AGGAAUUGGCGGGGGAGCACUACAAGGGGUGCGGCGUGCGGUUUAAUUGAAUUCAACGCCGGAAAUCUCACCAGGAGCGACGGCAGGAAGAAGGCCAGUCUAAAGGGCUUGCCUGACGAGCCGAGAGGUAUUGCAUGGCCGCCGUCAGCUCGUGCCGUAAGGUGUCCUCUUAAGUGAGGUAACGAGCGAGACCUGUGUCUUCAAUUGAAAACGGGAUGUUAAUCGACUGAUCACAUUGAAGAGACUGCCUGGGAAACCAGGAGGAAGGUGCAGGCAACGGUAGGUCCGUAUGGUCCGGAUCCCCUGGGCUACACGCGGGCUGCAAUGGUAAGGACAAUGGGUUUCAAUCCCGAAAGGGGGAGGCAAUCCGUAAACCUUACCACAGUUAUGAUUGAGGGCUGAAACUCGCCCUCAUGAAUAUGGAAUCCCUAGUAACCGCGUGUCAUCAUCGCGCGGUGAAUACGUCCCUGCUCCUUGCACACACCGCCCGUC
rnacentral:rRNA from 1 species